CGGGGCGUAGCGCAGCGGUAGCGCACCGCGUUUGGGGCGCGGGGGUCGGCGGUUCGAAUCCGCCCGCCCCGA
rnacentral:tRNA from 1 species